UGGAGAUCAUCACUGUAUCCAUGGAUCUUCCUCACUCUUCCUAUAUUGAGAGAAAUGUGAAGGAGAAGAUCAUGGUGUUCAAACUGAAAGUUCAUGAAAUGGAAAAUUGAAAGCAUCACAAGCUUACCUCAAGUGUGAGGACUUCAGAAAACCACACAAACACAAGAAUGCUACAUUGAAAUGAGAGUUCUAGAUCCAAAAAGUUUGAAUGUAUACCUCUGAAUUGAAGCACUUCAG
rnacentral:lncRNA from 1 species